rnacentral:rRNA from 1 species
GACAGAGGGUGCAAGCGUUGUUCGGAAUUACUGGGCGUAAAGGGCGCGUAGGCGGCAAGGCAAGUCAGGUGUGAAAGCCCCGGGCUCAACUCGGGAACUGCAUCUGAAACUGCUGUGCUUGAGUCCUGGAGGGGGUAGUGGAAUUCCCAGUGUAGCGGUGAAAUGCGUAGAUAGUUGGGAGGCAACACCGGUGGCGAGGGCGGCUACCUGGACAGUGAC